rnacentral:rRNA from 1 species
GACGAACGCUGGCGGCGUGCUUAACACAUGCAAGUCGAACGAAGUGGGAACGGGUGAGUAAUACGUGGGUAACCUCCCUCCUUUUUGGGAUAAGCCUUGGAAACGGGGUCUAAACCGAAUCGAUGGGCUCGCGGCCUAUCAGAUUGUUGGUGGGGUGAUGGCCUACCAAGGCGGUGACGGGUAGCCUGCCUGAGAGGGUGACCGGCCAAAUUGGGACUGAGAUACGGCCCAGACUCCUACGGGAGGCAGCAGUGGUGAAUCUUCCGCAAUGGACGAAAGUCUGACGGAGCAACGCCGCGUGAGUGAUGACUGCCUUCGGGUUGUAAAGCUCUGUUAAUCGGGACGCAGUACCGGAAUAGAAAGCCACGGCUAACUACGUGCCAGCAGCCGCGGUAAUUC